rnacentral:rRNA from 1 species
GAUGAACGCUAGCUACAGGCUUAACACAUGCAAGUCGUGGGGCAUCAUGAUGUAGUAAUACAUUGAUGGCGACCGGCGCACGGGUGAGUAACGGUAUCCAACCUACCCUCCACUCAAGUAUAGGCUUCCGAAAGGGAGAUUAAUCCUUGAUAUCGUCAUUCUCUCUCCUGUUAGAAUGAUAAAAGGACAUCGUUUCGGUAGAGGAUGGGGAUGCGUUCCAUUAGGUAGUAGGCGGUUUAACAGGCCACCUAGCCGAUGAUGGAUAGGGGUUCUGAGAGGAAUAUCCCCCACACUGGUACUGAGAUACGGACCAGACUCCUACGGGAGGCAGCAGUGAGGAAUAUUGGUCAAUGGGCGCAAGCCUGAACCAGCCAUGUAGCGUGAAGGAUGACGGUUUUUUUGAUUGUAAAC